rnacentral:rRNA from 1 species
GACGAACGCUGGCGGCGUGCUUAACACAUGCAAGUCGAACGGAAAGGCCCUGCUUUUGUGGGGUGCUCGAGUGGCGAACGGGUGCGUAACACGUGUGUAACCUGACCUUGAUUUUGGGAUAACUUCAGGAAACUGGGGUUACUACCGGAUCGGAUCUCCUGCUGCAUGGAGAGGGUUGGAACGUCUCGGCGGGUGGGGAUGGACUCGCGGCUUAUGAGCUUGCUGGUGGGGGAGUGGCUUACCAAGCCAGUGACCGGUAGCCGGCCUGAGAGGGUGGCCGGGGACAUGAGGACUGAGGGACGCAGCAGACGCGAACGGGAGGCAGCGGGGGGGAGUAUGACACAGUGAGAGGGAGUCUGAGACGGAGACGCCGGGGGCGGGAUGACGGUCUUCGGGUAGAGAACCGCUGUCGCCUGAGACGAAGCGGGAGUGACGGUAAUGGGUAAAGAAGCACCGGCUAACUACGUG